rnacentral:rRNA from 1 species
AACGAACGCUGGCGGCGCGCUUUACACAUGCAAGUCGCACGAGAAAGGGCUUCGGCCUGAGUAAAGUGGCGGACGGGUGAGUAAUGCAUGGAUAACCUGCCUUCGAGUGGGGGAUAACCCCGGGAAACCGGGGCUAAUACCGACAAUGACAAGCCGCGGGCCUCGGCCUGCGUCUUCAAAGCUGGCCUCUGCUUGCAAGCUGGCGCUCGAAGAGGGGUCCAUGUCCCAUUAGCUAGUUGGUGAGGUAAUGGCUCACCAAGGCGACGAUGGGUAGCCGACCUGAGAGGGUGAUCGGCCACACUGGGACUGAGACACGGCCCAGACUCCUACGGGAGGCAGCAGUGGGAAAUUUUGCGCAAUGGGGGAAACCCUGACGCAGCGACGCUGCGUGGAGGAUGAAGGCCCUUGGGUCGUAAACUCCUGUCAGGUGGGAAGAAAGCUCUCCGGUAAACAGCCGGGGAGGCUGACUGUACCACCGGAGGAAGCCCCGGCUAACUUCGUGCCAGCCGCCGCGGUAAAAC